UAUUAGUAAACAAGAAUCAGCAGGAAGCUAAGAAAAUCAAUAAUUGCUUUUUUGUCAAAGAGAAAGUGCCUCCACCUGGUGUAGAAACAUACAAAGCACCAUGGGAGAACAACAAUUUGGAAGAUAAGCAGUAGAGAAAGGGGUUUUUGUACUUUUGAAAUGUGGCCUCUAUUACAGUGUAGGCUGUUUUUGGAUCCUGACUACAGCUGAGGAAUUCUUGGGAUGACAAGGAAUGUGCAGCUCUUUUUCUGAACAGCAGCAGUAGCAAUACUGAUUUCCAUACAUUAUGCCAUCUUUUCUAGCUGUAAUUCAUAAUCCAGCCUUGGAUCCUGCCAUGUUAUGGCAUCUCCCACCUUUCACAGGGAAAGGAUUUAUUUCCCUGAAAAAUAAGUAUUUUCAGCUUUCCUGGUGCUAUAACCUUCGCACUGAUACUCUAAAAUUGAGGAGUAAAUAUUCUGAGACAUGAUUUGAAGAUCUUUAUGGCUGAGGUUGCUUCUAACUAAAAGAAAUCACCUUUUCUAUUCCAAGAUCCACACAGCACCUGGGAAGUGGCAGUCUUGGAGUACAUUGUGUUUUUCUGUGAAAAUGUGCUGCACUACAUCUAUGCUAAGGGCUUCCUUUUGUCAUCAUUCAGAUUUGUCUGUUGCUCCUCUCCUUUAAAACACUUUCAAUUCUACUUCUCAGCAGUAUGAUUAGGCAUAUAUUAUUAUGAGACAAAAUGUUAAUAGAAAAAUAAAGGUUGUUUAGACGACAUAGGACUAAUUUAUUCCAUUAAUUAGAGUGACAUUUUAUGCAGUUAUUCAAAAUAAGUAGACAUGCAAGUUAUUCAAUCACUUAAUAAAUUACCAUAAAGUCUACUCUAAAUCUAAUAUCUUUCAAUUCCUCUAAGAUGAACAUUCUGAUAUCAAUGACUUUAAUAAAUUCUACACAGGCAACUUCACUUUGGCAUAAACACAAACAGUAAUAGAGUUAAUAGGAAGUAUGUUUCUAUACCAAUUAAACUUGACCUUGAGGACCAGAAAGUCAAUUGAUAUGAUGUGGUGUAUACUCUUUUUAGGAUAUUUCAUAGUAUUAAAUUCUGUGAUGAUAUAAAUGGAGUCCACAGAAAAAUUACUUUUUUUAUCUUUCUCAAACCAGGCUGAUAUAUGAUUAGUUCCACAAACCAUCCUAAAAUUAGUUUAAAAGUUUUCAUCCAGGACUUUUAUUUUGACAGAAAAGGACAUUGCAGGGUACCUUGGUUAGAUUUAUUUUCUCAAAUUUUUUUCUGUUAAAAAUGAGAUCAUAAUAUGUAUUUUCAAAAAUCUCCAUUAUCAUGAUUUUAAAAAAAAAUUGUUUCUGUAUAAAUUACUUAUUUUGAUUUCUAAAUUAGAAAAAGAUAUUUCAUUCUGUUCUACAGAGCAGUCUCCUCUGAGUUUUAUAUACAAUAAUAGAGGGCUUCAACUAUUGCAGUCAUUAAAUAUCUAUUGCUGUAUCAUGUCUCAAAAUUGUGUGUCAGUAGUAUAUGUUAUGAAAUAAAUGGAAAAAUAAUUCUAUGUCCUACAAGGUAUUUUUA